AGUCCCAAGUUCCAGUAACAUUGGCUCCUCCUGUUCUUUACUAUUAAGCCUAAGAGUGAUAGUGGCUUCUUGCUGUCCUGGCUAACAAGGUGAAACCCCGUCUCUACUAAAAAUACAAAAAAUUAGCCGGGCGCGGUGGCGGGCGCCUGUAGUCCCAGCUACUGGGGAGGCUGAGGCAGGAGAAUGGCGUUGAACCCGGGAAGCGGAGCUUGCAGUGAGCCGAGAUUGCGCCACUGCAGUCCGCAGUCCAGCCUGGGCGACAGAGCGAGACUCCGUCUCAAAAAAAAAAAAAAAAAAAAAAAAAAAGAAGAGACCAGAGAGCUUGCUCCCUCUCUUUCCACCAUGUAGGCAAGCAGCAUCCCCUUUGCCAAUACAGACAGCCACAGAAGCACUAAGAAACAUUGCACCCACUCUUCUCUUGGGAGCUUUAUCUUCUUGUGCAUCCACUUCCUUGACUUACCCCUCAUGUUUGGAUAUGAAAAGAUUCACUGUGCAAUCUGAUUGUACAGUGCGGUGUGCUGUGAUUUCUUAGACCAGGAAAUAUCAGUUGCUUCCUUAAAAUUA
rnacentral:lncRNA from 10 species